GUAGGGAAUAUUGGGCAAUGGAGGCAACUCUGACCCAGCCAUGCCGCGUGAAGGAUGACUGUCCUAUGGAUUGUAAACUUCUUUUGUUAGGGACGAAACCCUUGGAUUCAUCCGAGGCUGACGGUACCUAAAGAAUAAGCACCGGCUAACUCCGUGCCAGCAGCCGCGGUAAUACGGAGGGUGCAAGCGUUAUCCGGAUUCACUGGGUUUAAAGGGUGCGUAGGUGGAUCAGUAAGUCAGUGGUGAAAGCCCCGGGCUCAACUUGGGAAUUGCCAUUGAUACUGCUGGUCUUGAGUUCGGUUGAGGUAGGCGGAAUAAGUCAUGUAGCGGUGAAAUGCUUAGAUAUGACUUAGAACACCGAUUGCGAAGGCAGCUUACCAAGCCGACACUGACACUGAGGCACGAAAGCGUGGGGAUCAAACAGGAUUAGAAACCCCAGUAGUCC
rnacentral:rRNA from 1 species